rnacentral:misc_RNA from 1 species
GUGUAUCUUCAGAAUCGGCAAACAUGAAUGAGUUACUCCAGUGGAAUGAAUUGUAUGGAGAAGGUGGAUCAAGGAAGAAGAAAUCUCUCAGUUACUUCAUGUAGAGACAUGUGAAGUGUAUAGUGUUGCUUUAUUUAUUUACCCAAGUUGGUAGGGACGGGUCCUGCAUGCAUGGAAAUCCAUUUCAGGUUCCCUGGAGUCCAAACCCCCAACCGCGGAAAACUGUGUAUCAUAGUUAGUUAAUAGUUAUGAAAUAUCUAUCUAUCCGAAGCUUGUCUUCCAAUUUUCACCUUAUUGGAUCUCCUCUGUAUAUACAAUUUGAUUUAUUUAAUAAAUA